CAUCAGAUGAUAAAGUUAUGAUCUUUUUACUAAGACUAUAUCAAAACUCUAUAGAAAUUGGUAGUACCUUGGAUAUACCUCAGAUACUUUAGUAUAUACCUUAGAUAGCUUAAUGUAUACCUCAGAUACCUAAAUGUAUACCUUGAAUGCACCAUGGAUACCUCAGAUUAGUCAGUAUCCUAUCAAAUAUAAUAGUUGUCAAGUCGAAUUUGCAUCCUUUCAGGUCCUAUCCCUC
rnacentral:lncRNA from 1 species